rnacentral:rRNA from 1 species
AUUGAACGCUGGCGGCAGGCCUAACACAUGCAAGUCGAACGAGUGGCAGACGGGUGAGUAAUGUCUGGGAAACUGCCCGAUGGAGGGGGAUAACUACUGGAAACGGUAGCUAAUACCGCAUACCAUCGGAUGUGCCCAGAGGGGAUUAGCUAGUAGGUGGGGUAAAGGCUCACCUAGGCGACGAUCCAUAGCUGGUAUGAGAGGAUGACCAGCCACACUAGAACGGAGACACGGUCCAGACGCCUACGGGAGGCAGCAGUGGGGAAUAUUGCACAAGGGGCGCAAGCCUGAUGCAGCCAUGCCGCGUGUAUGAGGAAGGCCUUCGGGUUGUAAAGUACUUUCAGCGAGGAGGCGUUACUCGCAGAAGAAGCACCGGCUAACUCCGUGCCAGCAGCCGCGGUAAUUC